UACGUAGGGGGCAAGCGUUGUCCGGAAUCAUUGGGCGUAAAGAGCGUGUAGGCGGCCCGGUAAGUCCGCUGUGAAAGUCCAGGGCUCAACCCUGGGAUGCCGGUGGAUACUGUCGGGCUCGAGUCCGGAAGAGGAGUGUGGAAUUCCUGGUGUAGCGGUGAAAUGCGCAGAUAUCAGGAGGAACACCAAUGGCGAAGGCAGCACUCUGGGACGUGACUG
rnacentral:rRNA from 1 species